AAUAUUGCGCCAUGGAGGGAACUCUGACGCAGCGACGCCGCGUGAGCGACGAAGGUUUUCGGAUUGUAAAGCUCUGUCCUUGGGGGAGAAGGCGGCCUUUUAUGGACAUUUGACGGUACCCAAGGAGGAAGCCCCGGCUACCAACUUCCUAGCAGCCGCGGUAAUACGUAGGGGGCAAGCGUUGUCCGUAAUUAUUGGGCGUAAAGGCUGCGUAGGCGGCCUUUUAAGUCAGAUGUGAAAGACCACGGCAUAACCGUGGGGUUGCAUUUGAAACUGGAGGGCUUGAGUAUCGGAGAGGGUAGUGGAAUUCCCAGUGUAGCGGUGGAAUGCGUAGAUAUUGGGAGGAACACCAGUGGCGAAGGCGACUACCUGGACGAAAACUGACGCUGAGGCACGAAAGCUAGGGGAGCAAACA
rnacentral:rRNA from 1 species